AUGAUCCUCCACAUUGGCACCAUGUCACUCACAUCUAAUCCAUCAUCUAAAACCACCCAAACCACUAAUUUUUUAUUUUAAUUUAUUUUUGCGGAAAUGGAGCUUGUGGCCUUAUAGAACAGAAGGAAGAUUGGAAUGGACACCUCUAUUUUCCCAAGCUUUCUGUCCAUGUGAUUAGCUUGCUCCAAAUAAAACUAUGCAGUACAAUUACUUACAACGCUGUAGGCAAUGCUCGAGACUACAAGCAUAAAGAAGUCGCCAGUGAAGGCGUCAACAAAGAACGCAAACACGAUGGCCAAAACUGAUGUGAUUCCAUUCCAAAUGUUGAUGAUACCAGCAGCAUGUGUAGUGCUUGGAUUCCAAACAUUUGUUAAGUAAUUCAUCAUCACCUACAUUGCAAAUGCAGCUAACAGAUCGGCCCAUGUCAGUGCUGCAAGAUCGACAUAUAAAUCUUAUUUUCCUAUCAUUUUUAUUUUAGUUUCAAUAUGUAUUACCAAACAAAACUUAUAAUUUAUAGCUAGUUAUAUAUUAUUAUAUUUUAAAAUUAGUCAAUAGUCAU
rnacentral:lncRNA from 1 species